GUUGUAUGGUUAAGUGACUAAGCGUACACGGUGGAUGCCUUGGCAAUCAGAGGCGAAGAAGGACGUGCUAAUCUGCGAAAAGCUUGGAUGAGUUGAUAAGAAGCGUUUAAUCCAAGAUAUCCGAAUGGGGAAACCCAGUAGAUGAAGAAUCUACUAUUGUUAACUGAAUACAUAGGUUAACAAGGCAAACCGGGAGAACUGAAACAUCUAAGUACCCCGAGGAAAAGAAAUCAACCGAGAUUCCGUGAGUAGCGGCGAGCGAAAGUGGAAGAGCCAGUGAGUGAUAGCAGUAAAAUUAAGAGAAUGAGCUGGGAAGCUCAACCGUAGGGGGUGAUAGUCCCGUAUCUGAAAAUUUUAUUGUGGUACUAAGCUAACGAGAAGUAGGGCGGGACACGUGAUAUCCUGUUUGAAGAUGGGGGGACCAUCCUCCAAGGCUAAAUACUCCUGAUUGACCGAUAGUGAACCAGUACUGUGAAGGAAAGGCGAAAAGAACCCCAGUGAGGGGAGUGAAAUAGAACCUGAAACCGUGUACGUACAAGCAGUGGGAGCUCCGUCACUUAAUGAUUUUUAAUCAUUAAGUGACUUCGCAGGAGUCAGAUGACAGUGGUCAGAUAGCAGUGGAUAAUAAAACUGCCAUCUGAAACCUGUCAUCUGACACCUGAAACGGAGUCAGUUAAUGGCGAAAGCCAUUAAGUGACGGAGUGACUGCGUACCUUUUGUAUAAUGGGUCAGCGACUUAUAUUUUGUAGCGAGGUUAACUUAAAUCAGGUAGCCGAAGGGAAACCGAGUCUUAACUGGGCGGCUAGUUGCAAGGUAUAGACCCGAAACCCGGUGAUCUAGCCAUGGGCAGGUUGAAGGUUGGGUAACACUAACUGGAGGACCGAACCGACUAAUGUUGAAAAAUUAGCGGAUGACUUGUGGCUGGGGGUGAAAGGCCAAUCAAACCGGGAGAUAGCUGGUUCUCCCCGAAAUCUAUUUAGGUAGAGCCUUAUGUGAAUACCUUGGGGGGUAGAGCACUGUUUCGGCUAGGGGUCCAUCCCGGAUUACCAACCCGAUGCAAACUGCGAAUACCGAAGAGUAAUGCAUAGGAGACACACGGUGGGUGCUAACGUCCAUCGUGAAGAGGGAAACAACCCAGACCGCCAGCUAAGGUCCCAAAGUCUAUAUUAAGUGGGAAACGAAGUGGGAAGGCUUAGACAGCUAGGAUGUUGGCUUAGAAGCAGCCAUCAUUUAAAGAAAGCGUAAUAGCUCACUAGUCGAGUCGGCCUGCGCGGAAGAUGUAACGGGGCUAAAAUAUAGCACCGAAGCUGCGGCUUUCAGGGGUCAGAUUACAGGAGUCAGAUAACAGUAGAAAUACUGCUGUGUUAGAAACUCAAAAUAUUAUUAGGUUUAGGUAAGUUGGUAGACAAAACUGCCGUCUGAAACCUGUAAUCUGACCCCUGACAGGGUAGGGGAGCGUUGUGUAAGCGGAAGAAGGUGAGUCGAGAGGCUUGCUGGACGUAUCACAAGUGCGAAUGCUGACAUAAGUAACGAUAAAACGAGUGAAAAACUCGUUCGCCGGAAGACCAAGGGUUCCUGUCCAACGUUAAUCGGGGCAGGGUGAGUCGGCCCCUAAGGCGAGGCUGAAAAGCGUAGUCGAUGGGAAACGGGUUAAUAUUCCCGUACUUGGUAAAGUUGCGAUGUGGGGACGGAGUAGGUUAGGUUAGCGUACUGUUGGAUAUGUACGUUUAAGCGUGUAGGUGGGAAGUUUAGGCAAAUCCGAACUUCCAUUCAACACUAAGGCGUGAUGACGAUUUCCCAAGGGAAAGAAGUAAUCGAUACCACACUUCCAGGAAAAGCCACUAAGCGAAAGACUUUACUAAACCGUACUGAAAACCGACACAGGUGGUCAGGUAGAGAAUACUCAGGCGCUUGAGAGAACUCGGGUGAAGGAACUAGGCAAAAUAGCACCGUAACUUCGGGAGAAGGUGCGCUUACCGUAAUUGUAGUGCUUUACGCACGAAGGUGAAGUAAGUCGAAGAUACCAGCUGGCUGCAACUGUUUAUUAAAAACACAGCACUCUGCAAACACGAAAGUGGACGUAUAGGGUGUGAUGCCUGCCCGGUGCUGGAAGGUUAAUUGAUGGUGUUACCCCUCACCUAGAUUUAUUUGCAAAAUCUAGGUAAAAAAAGACCGCACUUAAGAGUAAAUCUAGGUGAGGGGGAAGCUCCUGAUCGAAGCCCCAGUAAACGGCGGCCGUAACUAUAACGGUCCUAAGGUAGCGAAAUUCCUUGUCGGGUAAGUUCCGACCUGCACGAAUGGCAUAAUGAUGGCCAGGCUGUCUCCACCCGAGACUCAGUGAAAUUGAAAUCGCCGUGAAGAUGCGGUGUACCCGCGGCUAGACGGAAAGACCCCGUGAACCUUUACUAUAGCUUGACACUGAACCUUGAAUUUUGAUGUGUAGGAUAGGUGGGAGACUUAGAAGCAGGAACGCCAGUUAUUGUGGAGUCGUCCUUGAAAUACCACCCUUUAACGUUUGAUGUUCUAACGAAGAUUGCGGAACGCGGUCUCGGACAGUGUCUGGUGGGUAGUUUGACUGGGGCGGUCUCCUCCCAAAGAGUAACGGAGGAGCACGAAGGUUUGCUAAUGACGGUCGGACAUCGUCAGGUUAGUGCAAUGGUAAAAGCAAGCUUAACUGCGAGACAGACAAGUCGAGCAGGUACGAAAGUAGGUCAUAGUGAUCCGGUGGUUCUGAAUGGAAGGGCCAUCGCUCAACGGAUAAAAGGUACUCCGGGGAUAACAGGCUGAUACCGCCCAAGAGUUCAUAUCGACGGCGGUGUUUGGCACCUCGAUGUCGGCUCAUCACAUCCUGGGGCUGAAGUAGGUCCCAAGGGUAUGGCUGUUCGCCAUUUAAAGUGGUACGCGAGCUGGGUUUAGAACGUCGUGAGACAGUUCGGUCCCUAUCUGCCGUGGGCGUAGGAUGAUUGAGUGGGGCUGCUCCUAGUACGAGAGGACCGGAGUGGACGCAUCACUGGUGUACCAGUUGUUUCGCCAGAAGCAUUGCUGGGUAGCUAAAUGCGGAAGAGAUAAGUGCUGAAAGCAUCUAAGCACGAAACUUGCCAUAAGAUGAGUCAUCCCACACUUAAAGUGUGUAAGGGUUGUUUAAGACGAAGACGUAGAUAGGCUGGGUGUGUAAGCGGUGCGAGCCGUUGAGCUAACCAGUACUAAUUGCCCGAGCGGCUUAACCAUACAACCUCA
rnacentral:rRNA from 1 species